CUCCACCGAGGGACAGGUAGGUGGUGGCUGCGCAUGAGGUGCAUUGGCCGGGAAUUGAACCUGCGUCUCCCAGGUCUCCCCUAAAACAACGUUGCUAGUUAUAUUUUCAGUGAGAGCAGUGUUGGUGAAUAUAUUCGAUUAUUUUCAAAAUCUUGACUUAAUGCUCUGGGAUACCGUAAUUUAAAUGUCUGGUUUUAACUCACUUAUGCUUGAUUUCCAUAGCUGAAAAAUACAUGUAGAUCCAAGUGGAAGUUGUUCAUCGUUGGGGGUGCUGGCUAAAUCACGUUGUUUGUUUUUCAGUCGCAUCCAGGUAUUAAGCAGAAGUUUUCGUUGAAAUUCAGCUAGUAAAUUUCCAUUUCUCAUGACGUCAGUCAGCUGUCCUUGCAGAGUCACCGAAAGAGCCUGCAUUUUAAUAUUUUUAACAAAUGGGUUCAAAACCUGCUAAAACUCCUCAUUGGGAAGAUGUUUAAAAGGCUAGAAAAAUCUAUUUCCAAGUUUUUAAUGUGUGCAGAUACAAGUUUUUAUAAAUCAAAUGACAGUGUGUUCAGCCUCAAGUCAUUAAUCAUGGAAACAUUUCCAAACACCCAUUUUGAAAAUGCCUCUCCAAUGGCAAAGCAGCCCUUCCAUCAGGAUCGACACCAGGAUGGUUUUCCCCUGGAACAAGAUUUUCAUUAUCUGCAUCUGAUUGUCACAGUUUUUACAGCAUAUAGUGGCUGAAGACAGAAGCUCACAGCAGGCAGCAAAGCAUCCACCCUGCCAAGUUUCGCUGUUCACUUGUACUUGCCUUCAGACUGGCAUCCCCAGUGUUCAUUCUUAUUGCAAAAAUCUGUAAGCCCCUUACCCAUUUGAUGAGAGCUAAUUUUGUCAACUGGAGUCCCUGGGUAGUGUAAACGAUCAGCAUGCUCGACUCCUAACUAAAAGGUUGGAAGUUCGAGUCUACCAGACGCACCUUGGAAGAAAGGUCUGGUGAUCGACUUCUGAAAAAUCAGCCAUUGAAAACCCUAUGGAGCACAGUUCUGUUCUGACGCCCCUGCUGUUGCCAUGAGUCAGAGUCGACUAGAUGGCAACUGGUUUUCAGCUUUGUUAAACUUGUAUCGUAUAAUCUGUACAAUCACUGCCUGGGUACACGUAAACACCAUGUUCCCCUGUGGGCUGUGAUCAAGUCCCAGGGUUGCCUCCUUCUGAUUGUGGAGAUAUUCCACUCACUCAACCAAAAACCUUUGUCUGAUCAGCCAAAUGUUGUUUGAUCCUGCACCAUCUUCAAGAUUAUUGGUAUGCUGGAGUCCAUUGUUUUGGCCACUGUGUAUUUUAAGUACCUUUGAACAUAGGGGUUCAUCUCCUAACACUAUAUUGGACAGUUUUUUGUUGUGAUUCAUCAGAUUUUCUUUUUUAAAAUUUUAUUUAUUUUGUUGUUGAGAAUAUACACAGCAAAACAUGCACCAGUUCAAC